rnacentral:tRNA from 1 species
GGAUUGUGGCUCAGCGGUAGAGCGCUGGCUUGCCUAGCAUGCGCGGGCCCUGUGUUCGAUCCUCAGCACCA